GACGAACGCUGGCGGCGUGCCUAAUACAUGCAAGUAGAACGCACAGUUUAUACCGUAGCUUGCUACACCAUAGACUGUGAGUUGCGAACGGGUGAGUAACGCGUAGGUAACCUGCCUGGUAGCGGGGGAUAACUAUUGGAAACGAUAGCUAAUACCGCAUAAUAUUAAUUACUGCAUGAUAAUUAAUUGAAAGGUGCAAUUGCACCACUACCAGAUGGACCUGCGUUGUAUUAGCUAGUAGGUGAGGUAACGGCUCACCUAGGCGACGAUACAUAGCCGACCUGAGAGGGUGAUCGGCCACACUGGGACUGAGACACGGCCCAGACUCCUACGGGAGGCAGCAGUAGGGAAUCUUCGGCAAUGGACGAAAGUCUGACCGAGCAACGCCGCGUGAGUGAAGAAGGUUUUCGGAUCGUAAAGCUCUGUUGUAAGAGAAGAACGGGUGUGAGAGUGGAAAGUUCACACUGUGACGGUAUCUUACCAGAAAGGGACGGCUAACUACGUG
rnacentral:rRNA from 1 species